rnacentral:rRNA from 1 species
AGCAGCCGCGGUAAUUCCAGCUCCAAUAGCGUAUAUUAAAGUUGUUGCAGUUAAAAAGCUCGUAGUUGAAUUUCGGGGUCAGUAGGUUGGUCAUGCCACUGGUAUGUACUGGUCUCACUGAUUCCUCCUUCCUGAUGAGCCGUAAUGCCAUUAAUUUGGUGUUGCGAGGAAUCUGGACUGUUACUUUGAAAAAUUAGAGUGUUUAAAGCAGGCUUACGCUUGAAUACAUUAGCAUGGAAUAAUGAAAUAGGACGUUUGAUUCUAUUUUGUUGGUUUCUAGGAUUGACGUAAUGAUUAAUAGGGAUAGUUGGGGGCAUUAGUAUUCAAUUGUCAGAGGUGAAAUUCUUGGAUUUAUUGAAGACUAACUACUGCGAAAGCAUUUGCCAAGGAUGUUUUCAUUAAUCAAGAACGAAAGUUAGGGGAUCGAAGACGAUCAGAUACCGUCGUAGUCUUAGCCAUAAACUAUGCCGACUAGGGAUCGGAUGAUGUUAAUUUUUAAUGA